ensembl:lncRNA
AAGCUUUAAAGUGCACAUGAAUCUUGUUAACAUGCAGAUCUGGUUCAGUGGGUCUGGGGUGGGACCUCAGAGUCUGCAUUCCUAACAAGAUCCUGGGAGAUACCAAUGCUGCUCCUGCGCAAACCACGCUCACAGGGAAAGCAAGCAGCCAGCAAACAGCUCACUUGUGCUGUUUUGUCAAGAAUGGACCUCAGAGGUUGUGUUUGAGAAGCUUGGCACACUGGUCCCUGCUAGACAGCUAACACACCCGGUUAUCUUAUCUGUGGCUGAUAAUGACUUACUGUCCUGCUGCUCCCAGAUGUCAACAAGGGCGCCUCCUAUAAUCUCAAUGGGAAUACUUGGAAAGAGUGUCUCAAAAUCCCACUGCAUACAGCACGGCUGACCAGCAGGCAGAGAGGAUUGUUACACAGGCGUGAGUGCCAGGUGGGUUCUCCUGGCAUCCAACACAGCUUCGGAGAAGCACAAGCGGGAAGCAAGGGACCCGUGAUGCAGGCCUGCAGCGAAGCCCUGGCCAGCCUGCCUCUCCACGGAGCUGGUUGAAGUCUGCAGAGAACUGGGCACCGCAGCUGUGCGUGGCACGAGAGGACAGUCUGAGAAGACCUGAAGUGAUGUACAAGAGGUGUUCAAUACAUGGUGCGUGUCACACUGUAAGAGCUCAAUAAAUAUUUGUUCACUGAAAAGACCCCAGGUGACUGGAUCACGGAACUGAAGAGUUGGAGGAGGCCGUGGAAAUCAGCUCAUCCAGCCUCCCACCUGGUGUAGGUUUUCCUUCUGAAGGAGCCAGGCAGAUGCUUCCCGAAAAGGGGAGCUCACCCACUGCUUGUAGGGAGUCCUUUUUGUGUGUAGGGACUUCUACCUCUGGGAUGUUUCCCUCACAUGGACAGAAAUCUAUCUCCCUGGACAUUCUACCAUCAGUUCCAGUUCAGCCCCCAACAACAUAACACAGCCACUUCCUUUGCCAAAUAGCACCUGGAAAUGAGGUUUGCACGUGAAGGCAGCAUUUAAACAGGAAGCUGAGAGUCUUUAGUUCAGUGUCCUCCAACUUAAGUCUGGGUUGGCCAGCAUGGCCUGAGACUGGGUUUAACGCUACCCUACUUCACCCCACCCCAGGCACAGGUUCCCACAACCUGAGCAGCGCCUGUCCUGUUAGGGAGGGAGGCGAUUCACAUCCAACUGGGAGGAGCGGCCUUAUACGCUUAGAAAAGCAACUCUGUCAAAAUUGACACCUUCUGUCAUCCUCCCAUGUCGAGCACCCUGUCCUAGGAUGGUCACCCCUGAGCAUCCUUCCUGAGUGGUACAUUCUUGAGAAACUGAACCAUGGCCAGAGGCAGCCAACCCAGCGCCGUACCUUGGACUUCUGAAGAUAGUGACCAAGUCUCUUCAGAGACAUUUCAGCUCCUUCUGAUGAGAUGGCACCUUGACAUGCUGGCCGCCUUCCUCUUGAUACUUCCCAGUUUAUCAUCAAACUGUAACUCUCUUAAAAGGCUGAGUCCAUCCUGAAAACAGUACUCCACAUAGGGCCAGGCCGGCUCUGGGCACAGCGAAGCUCUGAUUCACGCUUGCACACAUUUGCUCAUGGUAGAUGAACAGGGAGGAGAAAUCCUGCGUGCAGUUAAUGUUGGAAAACUUGACAGAAUGAAAUAACUUGUAGAGAGAUGAGAAGUACCUUUCCUGCAUUAAUACAAACAAAUAUUGGGGAGAGGGGCCCUGCUACAAAGACCCAUCAACUGGCAGGUAGUCAAAAAGCCUGCUGGGAAUAGGGGACUAAAAAAAGGCAGAGCUACAAGGAUCCCCCCAGGUCAUCAAUUCCUUACACAUUUCUGUAUUAUUAUUCUGUGACACUGUUGUGCCACGAUUUCUACACAUUUCCCUAAAAUGCUAUGAGCAAACUGAGGGCAAGGACCAGCCUUGAGCACUGUUCCUAGUGCCUCGUUGGUGUCCAGUAGUUUUUAAUUGAAGCAGAACAUGAUAGCGCUCUACCCCAGGCCCCAAGCCCAGGUUAGGAUCACCCAGUCUCCCUUCCACUCCUAGCUCUCCGCCUGCCUGUGGUCCUGCUCUUUAAGCCUGCCUUUGGCUUUCAUUUCAGCCAGAUUCUUUGCAAAACCCUUUCGUUUUCUGUACUCUUCCAUUUGAGAAUUAACCCUUCACUUGGCAAAGAACUAAGUCUACUCUAAGUUACCUGGACAAAGGGUACCCACAGCCCUCCUGGAACCUGGCUAUUAAGACAGUGACAUUCUACUGGGGGCGAUAUUAGCAAACUCCAUCACCCCCCAACCCCCAUUACCACCCAUAAGCCCCCGGUAGUUGGCAGAGAAACCUAACUGCUUC